rnacentral:lncRNA from 1 species
UAGGACCUGGUUGAGCUGAUGUGUAAAAAAAAUAGUUUUUAAAUUUUUUAUUAAACAUUUUUGAUAAAUUUUAAAGGGCAAAAUGGUCAAUUCGUAAAAAAAAACAAACAUUAAAUAAAAAUAAAAAUAUAUCCUAUAUCAAAUCAUAUACGAACGAUUUAGAACAACUUAAAAUCAAACAACUAAUCUAAAAAAAGCCAUAAAUUAAAUAAAAUGCAUUCCAAUCCACAAAGAUCAUCAUCAUCUUUUCUCAUCCAAAGAAUCAACGCCACCCCUAAUUCCUCCAUGACUUCUGCUUGCCUCGACCAAUCUCACCAACGAACGCCUCUCCCCUGCGCCGCCCAGCUCCCGGACUCCGCCGCACUCUGCCACGCCCACCUCGUCGGUCCAAACCAGUGUUGCUCCGCCAAGCCUACAAACACUUCUUUAUUGAUUUUGAGUUUUAAAUCUUCAUUAUCUAGAUUUGCCGACAUCUAUAGUGCAAUUUCAGAUCUGAGCAAGUAAGGGUUUGAAGAUUUAUUUUUUCCCCAUGACUGAUUUUGUGGACAGAAGUCAUGGUAGUUUUCCCUGCAGAUUUCUUACGUGUUUAUCAGAUUUCUUCCCCCCGACCCGUCGUCUCCCCCUUCGCCGUUCCCUUCCUCGCGCCCCCGCUUCCCCCUUGUGCCCAUAAAGAAGAUAAAGGGUAGUCUAGAUAGAUCUGUCAAGGUGGAAGUGGUUGGAUUGGAUACGGAGGGUGAGAGAGAAGGGGCUUUUGAAACCUCGCCAUGAAACCUCGCCGACAACGGUAAAUGUUGUGGAUUCGGCAUCAGUUUCCGGCGACGGUAAAAGAUGGGAGAUCAAUUGAUUUGUCUAAGAAAUCGCCGGAUUGGUUGAUUUUUUGAUUUAUUGAGGAAUCGCCGAUUUGCCGGAUCGGUUGAUUUUUUGUUUUGUCUGAGAUCAGUUAGGUAGAUGGUGAUUUUUUGAUUUGUCUGGAAUCGUUGAUAAAAUUUUGAAUUUGAGACCUAGGGUUUUUUUUUAUCGAAGUUGGGCAGUGAAUCUUGAUCGAAG